rnacentral:lncRNA from 1 species
GAAUUAGUUAAUGGGGGUCAGCAUCCCGGGGACAGCAGACCUCUGGUGCUGCCGGGCGUCUCUUGGCAAAGCCUCUUAAGAGCUGUCUCAAAUAGAAUUGGAAACAAGUUGUAUUUCAGAGAAGAGGACGACGAAAGUGGUUGUUAGUGUUCUGGCAUGGCUUUAAUGUUUUCUGCAGAGAGGUAACGAGCAGGAUCGCAAGGCACAAAGUAAAGAAAAUGGAAAUUAAACCCUGUGAGACUGUCACCCGCCUCUGCUCUCCAACCUCCAGACUUUCCUCCACGAUUUUCACUUUGCUACUUGAUAUUUGUGUUUUGCAUCUCCUCCCCUUUUAAAAUAAAU